rnacentral:tRNA from 1 species
GUGGGUAUAGCUCAGGUAGAGCACACGCUUGGUAUACCCAAGGUCCUGGGUUCAAUCCCCAGUACCUCCA